GGGGACUUAGCUCAACAGCCUAAGCACCUGCCUGGUAAGCAGAGGCCAAGAGUUCAAUCUCUAGUCCCCU
rnacentral:tRNA from 1 species